rnacentral:miRNA from 1 species
UUGAAAAAAUUGUGGAUUUGA